GAUUAAGUUAUUAAGGGCGCACGGUGGAUGCCUUGGCACUAGAAGCCGAUGAAGGACGUUACUAACGACGAUAUGCUUUGGGGAGCUGUAAGUAAGCUUUGAUCCAGAGAUUUCCGAAUGGGGAAACCCAGCAUGAGUUAUGUCAUGUUAUCGAUAUGUGAAUACAUAGCAUAUCAGAAGGCACACCCGGAGAACUGAAACAUCUUAGUACCCGGAGGAAGAGAAAGAAAAUUCGAUUCCCUUAGUAGCGGCGAGCGAAACGGGAAGAGCCCAAACCAACAAGCUUGCUUGUUGGGGUUGUAGGACACUCUAUACGGAGUUACAAAGGACGACAUUAGACGAAUCAUCUGGAAAGAUGAAUCAAAGAAGGUAAUAAUCCUGUAGUCGAAAAUGUUGUCUCUCUUGAGUGGAUCCUGAGUACGACGGAGCACGUGAAAUUCCGUCGGAAUCUGGGAGGACCAUCUCCUAAGGCUAAAUACUCUCUAGUGACCGAUAGUGAACCAGUACCGUGAGGGAAAGGUGAAAAGCACCCCGGAAGGGGAGUGAAAUAGAACCUGAAACCGUGUGCUUACAAGUAGUCAGAGCCCGUUAAUGGGUGAUGGCGUGCCUUUUGUAGAAUGAACCGGCGAGUUACGAUUUGAUGCAAGGUUAAGCAGUAAAUGUGGAGCCGUAGC
rnacentral:rRNA from 1 species